rnacentral:rRNA from 1 species
AACGAACGCUGGCGGCAGGCUUAACACAUGCAAGUCGAACGAAGUCUUCGGACUUAGUGGCGGACGGGUGAGUAACACGUGGGAACGUACCUUUUGGUUCGGAACAACUCAGGGAAACUUGAGCUAAUACCGGAUGAGCCCUUAGGGGGAAAGAUUUAUCGCCGAAAGAGCGGCCCGCGUUAGAUUAGCUAGUUGGUGAGGUAAAGGCUCACCAAGGCUACGAUCUAUAGCUGGUCUGAGAGGAUGAUCAGCCACACUGGGACCGAGACACGGCCCAGACUCCUACGGGAGGCAGCAGUGGGGAAUCUUGCGCAAUGGGCGAAAGCCUGACGCAGCCAUGCCGCGUGAAUGAUGAAGGUCUUAGGAUAGUAAAAUUCUUUUACCAGGGACGAUAAUGACGGUACCUGGAGAAAAAGCCCCGGCUAACUUCGUGCCAGCAGCCGCCGUAACAC